rnacentral:rRNA from 1 species
UACGUAGGGUGCAAGCGUUGUCCGGAAUUAUUGGGCGUAAAGAGCUCGUAGGCGGUCUGUCGCGUCUGCUGUGAAAACUCAGGGCUUAACCCUGAGCUUGCAGUGGGUACGGGCAGACUAGAGUGCGGUAGGGGAGACUGGAAUUCCUGGUGUAGCGGUGAAAUGCGCAGAUAUCAGGAGGAACACCGGUGGCGAAGGCGGGUCUCUGGGCCGUAACUGACGCUGAGUGAGCGAAAGCCAGGGGAGCAAACGGG